rnacentral:pre_miRNA from 1 species
AAUAAGUGCAGUUUUGCACUAUUCACGUUCAACGUUUGACCGUCCGUCUUAUUUGAAAAAUUUGUGAAAAAAUUAAAAACAUUUAGUCACACAUAGAGUACUAUUCAUGUUUUAUCAUCUAAUAGCAAUAAAAAUACUAAUCAUAAAAAAUUUUCAAAUAAGAUGGACGGUCAAAUGUUGAACGUGAAUAGUGUAAAACUGCACUUAUU